rnacentral:misc_RNA from 1 species
UAGGGUGCGAGCGUUGUCCGGAUUUAUUGGGCGUAAAGGGCUCGUAGGUGGUUGAUCGCGUCGGAAGUGUAAUCUUGGGGCUUAACCCUGAGCGUGCUUUCGAUACGGGUUGACUUGAGGAAGGUAGGGGAGAAUGGAAUUCCUGGUGGAGCGGUGGAAUGCGCAGAUAUCAGGAGGAACACCAGUGGCGAAGGCGGUUCUCUGGGCCUUUCCUGACGCUGAGGAGCGAAAGCGUGGGGAGCGAACAGGCUUAGAUACCCUGGUAGUCCACGCUGUAAACGGUGGGUACUAGGUGUGGGGUCCAUUCCACGGGUUCCGCGCCGUAGCUAACGCUUUAAGUACCCCGCCUGGGGAGUACGGCCGCAAGGCUAAA